rnacentral:lncRNA from 1 species
AUAAAAAGUAGAUAAGUGCAGAAAAAUGAGAAAAGUACGAAACUUCAAAGAAAAAAAAAAGAGAAAUGAAAAAAAUAUUAUGAGAAGUAUGAUGAAGCACUUAUCUAGAAGAAUUGAGGUUGGCAAAAAGCAUGCUCAAAAGAGCAAUAAAAAAAAGAGCCAAUGAAUUCCUACAUGAACGAUGCCCAAUAGGAAUACCCCCUGAUUAAAAGAUUGACCAUAGUUAUGAGGGUAGCAACAUGGAUUCUGAGCCUGAAC